GGUAAUAAAAUAAAAAUAGGAUGAUAUCAUCCCUUUUUCAUCUUCUCUCCACCGAUUUUUCCAGCCAAGAAAUGGGUUUUGAAAGCUUCAUGUUUUCAGCAACUUUGAGGCUUAGCAAGUAAGUGAUUUUAAUGUCUUUCUUAAAGAUUUUUACAUUUUUGUAACCCCUAAAGCAUGAGCUUUCAUAAGAGGGGACUAUUGUGCAAAAUGAUGAAGAGUCUAGGGUUUUGCCAUGAGAUUAAAUGUGUUGUUUGUUGUGUUUUUAUGGAAGAUUAUGAGUUCUAGUUGUCUAAUAAACAACUUUUGUGAAAGAAAUUGCAUGAAAACACCUUAAAAGGGGCUAGAUUGCUAAGUUGUAAAAUGAGUUGUAAAUGUGUGAAAUAGUUAAAAUUAUGAGUUGCUAUAGUUAUGAAAAUGGUUCAUCUAGACUCAAGGAGUAAAGAAAUGUGAUAAAAAUUAUUUUACGAGCCUAGGGGUAAUUUGGUAAUUUUGGUAAAAUAUAGGGGCAAAAUUAUAAAAAUAACCCAAGUGUGUCAAUGGACUAAUUUGAUCAGUACAUUGUUUUAAUAAGUUGAAUGUGAUGUUUUAGAUGAUGAAAAUCGGGAUUUGGACCUAGAACGGAAAGAAAUCGAUUAAGGGAUAAUUACGUCUUUUUUUUUUACCUUUGUGGUAUUGAGGUAAGUUCGUAUGUAAACAAUACCAUGUUAUACAUGUAUUUAAAUGUUAUCAUUACAUGAACUGUACAAAUAUUAAUGUGUAUGUGAUUAAUAGAAAUAUGAUAAGACAAAGCCUUAAUAGACAAGGAAAAAUCCCGUUUGAACAUUUGGAAUAGAAUAGGAUACGAGUGACAUGUCACUAGGAAUUAUGAGUCUAGAUGACUAGCUCGAGAGUGAGCAUCGAAAUGUCAUGAGAUAUGAGGUAGCUUUAGCUACAAUUGAGGCACUUAUGUGCAAAGGCUUUUCCGAGUAUCCAAUUAGUAUUCCAAGUGUUCAACGGGUAAUCCAAGGAAAGAGUUGAUGAUGGUCCCAAUGAGGUAAGUCAUUGGUGAGUAUGCACUUGAGUUAUGUUACGAGUUGUGCAAGUAUGUAUACUAAGCCUAUGAGAAUGCCUUGAUAUGUGAUGAUCUAUGAUGCAUAAUAUGUGUUCUUACCAUGAUGGAUGAAAUGAUGUUGUAUUAAUUUUGUGAACAAUGAUCAUGAAUGAGUAACUUAGCCUUGACAGAUUUGAGUUACUGCAGUAGUGUAACUUUGAAAAUACACUAAAAAUAGUGGAAAAUGAGUUAGAGGCAGAACAAAAUAUGGGAUUAAAUAUUAAUGAGUCUAUUUUCACAUGAAAGAAAUAGGGGAAGAAAAAGAAUUCUAUAUUGUGUGAUAUUUGAAUUCUUGUAAAACAGGGUCUGAAUGAAUUCGAGAUCCCCUGUUAUGAUUUUAUAAAUUCACCAUAAAUUGUAAAAAAAUUAUUAAGAGUCAUAACUUACAUUCAUGGAUUUCUUAUUGAGUCUAUUUUUACGAGAAACAAACGGCAUGGUCAUUGGAAUUCUGUACAGGGAGAAAUUCGGUUCGUAGUGUACAGGGGUCAGAGUAGUCAUACCCUGAAACAUGGAAUACUUUAACUAAUAAACUGUACUAAAUGGCUCGACCAAAAAUUUUGAAAAUUUUAUGGAAGAAAGAUAAAUGAGUCUAAUUUCAAGGAAAAUUUAUGGAACUUAAUUCGGAGUUUCGUAGCUCUAGAUAUAAAUAAUUUAGUGACCGUUGUGCAGGAAGACAGCUUGUCGUAAACUUGAGAAUAUGUUGUAAACAUUGAUAAAACUGUUUGAGUUGCUUAUAAGAUAUUGAUUAGAACCAUAUGUGAAUUUUUAAUUGUGAUGUUAGGAAAUGAUAUAUAAGUGGUUUUGAUAUGAUGAAAUUGAUGUACAAGAUAUGUAUAUGUGGUGAGGCCGAAAUGGCUAAUAUUAAAUGUGUGCAAGUUAUCUGAAGGGCCUUUAUGAAAAUAUGUGCUAUCUUAUUUGUAUAGUGAGGCCGAAUGGUUACUUAGAAAUGUAAUAUGGCUGAGUGGUUAUUUAAAUAAAAGCAAAGUAUAUGAUGUAUUAGUAAGUAAUGAUAAAAGCAUUAUCUUAUAUAUGUGCUUGUGUAUGUGGUGUGACCGAAUGGACAAGUGUGAAAUGUACAUAUGUUUAUGUGUAUAUAAUGUGGCCGAAUGAAAUGUGGGUUUAUUAGAUAUUUGAUGAGGCCAAAGUUAGUAAAAAAGUAUAUAAAAUAAAUUGUGCUGAGAUUGUAUCCGGGUUUAAAGUCUCGUAGUCUUUGUGCUGGUGUUAUGUUCGGGUUUUAUACCUUGCAGGCCAAAUGCUAGUGAAUUUGAUAAAGCAUAUGACUACGAGAUCCUAUGCUAAGAUGAUAAAUUGAACUCGUAUUACACAUUAAGUGAUUCAGGUAUGUGAUAUAUAUAUUAUUUAUGUGAGAUUGAUCUGACGAGAAUAUAUAUUAUUUAUGUGAGAUUGAUCUGACGAGAAUAAAGAAUGUGUAAUGAGAAGCAUAUGAAAAGAUGUGGUAAAUUCAUAUGUAUAUUUGUAUAUGUGUGCAUUCAGUUAUUAUGCAAAGUUACAAGAUAGUUUUCGAUAUGCCAUUUAACUAUGAAUGUUGAAAGUAAGUGUGGGUAAGAAAUGAUACACUAGUGAAAUUUGAAAGAAUUAAAGUUAAUCCGGAAGCUUGUAAAUACUAUGUUUAUAUGAGUUUGAGUAUAAACGGAGUAAAAUGAUAUGUGUUUGUGCAUAAUCGGCCAAAUAGUAUUGUACUCAGAAAGUGUUAUGUGAUUUCGAACAUUUGGUUUGUUUUUAAGUUCAACUGUUUGAAUUGCUUAAGACUUACUAAGUUUAUGAAAGCUUACUUUGAAUGUUAUGUUUCUCUGUUUAUUUUUGUAGAUCGUUGACUCUUACUAUUAGCACGGGGAUCGUCAGCACUUCGUCACACUAUCUACUAUUGUGGUUAUCAUGUGUUUUGGACUUAGCUUAUGGCAUGUAUAGGUUAGAUUAUAAGUAGAAUGAUAUUUUGACUAUUGUAUAUAAGCCAUGCGAAUAUGGCAUCUUAUAGAAGUUUACUUUUAUAAGUUUUAAAUUCGAUCUUUAUUUGUAUCUAUUAGUUAUAUAUAUAAAUAAUCUUUUAUUUAAGAAAAAGGCUCAAAAUUUUACUGUUCU
rnacentral:lncRNA from 1 species